ensembl:lncRNA
GCCAGGAUCUGACCGUCCUCUCUGGCAGGUUGGAGAAUGAUAAGGGGGCGGGCCGGAGAGCGGGCGAGCGGGCGGGCGGUGUUAGGAGCUGUCGUGUGAUUGGUCGGGAGUGACGUAUCCGGAGCCACUUCCUGGUCGCUCCGCUCUCCGGGAGGAGGAGAGUGCAAAUGCGGUGUUGUUAGUUUGAACAAAAUGGCUGCGAGACCACUGUCAACGAGAGCUCACUGAACGCCUAUCAUGACUGUCCGCUCCGCCGUCUGGAUUCACAUAGAAUGUAUGUCCCCGGAGUCGUUUUUCACUUUGCAUUUGCGGUAGACCGCCCUCGGCUUGUCGUCCCAUUGACGACCUAAACAGGAAAAAAAAAAAACAACAACCAUAUAUUUUUUUGCACUUUACAACAAGUUGGCUGACUGACGGAACGUCGACUUAAUAAUCUGCGUUUUGUUUUUCUUCUUCAGAGAAAUCCCGGCUAAUAUCGAUGGCUUUUCAAAACCUCGGAUCCAUCGACGCGAACUAGCGCUAACGCUAUCUUACCUUACACCAUUUAGCUGCUUUUAAAAGUGAUUUUUAGUCGUCUUCGUCUAUGGGCUUUUUAAAAAAUUAUUAUUUUUGUUAGCGGUGCUUCGUUAGCUUCUCCGACCACCCAUUUUAUUGUGACAUUUAAACUGUUUUCGUCGAGUGUAAUCCUACUUUAUAUAUAUAUAUUGGUUUUUUUUAAAACAGCGAAUUUGCUGUGUGUCUGACUGGGUUUCCCUUGUUUACCUCGGUAUCUUGUCACUAAGCUGCUUCAGUCGCCGUGUGAUUAACUGCGACUGAAAUUCUGCUUCAUCUCUUUACGGGUAACUUCAGAAAACGCAUUUUGGAGAAUGUUUUUUCUACGUGUUUUUGCUGCCAUGCACCGACUCCUCACCGAGAGCUGCCAAAGCUGCACUUAACGCCAGCUGAAAGAAGCUAGCGACAGAAAAACGAGAACCAUUUGAUGGAAGAAAAGAAAAAGAAAAAACAAGAAGAAAAGACCAAGACGGACAUUGCUCAGAAAAAGGCUGCUGAUCAACAACCCAAAGUGCCAGAACCUGAACCCACUCAGCCCAGUCUUGGCCCACCACCCCUUCACCUCUACCCCACCAGCCCUGCGCUGCCCUACUCCUCGCCUUCGUCUUCUGGCAAUGGCAAGCGCGCCUCCUCAAGCGGUCAGCAGACGUCUCAGACUCCCCCUCAGCAGCCGUGCCAGUUGUCCUCUGCCAGUGCUCGCUACCCACCCAGAGAGGUACCCCCACGCUUCCGCCAGCAGGAGCACAAGCAGCUACUGAAGAGAGGCCAGCCGCUCCCUGUUGGAGCUCUUGGUGUUUCCGCCAUCUCCUCCUCCUCCGCUUAUUCUUCUACCACAACUGCCAACGGCGUCACCCCGAACUCCACCACAACAGCUGUUGGUAAACUGCACUCAGGUUUGUUUCACACAUCCAAGAAUACUAAGAAAUAAACUACCACAUUGAGGCUAUUUCAAUUUUUAUCAUGUCUGGCCAUUAUUUUAUUGAAAUAUGACUCUGAAAAUGCUUCAUUAACAUUUCAUAACACCCAUGCUUUCUUCCUUCUUUAUCCAUCAAUCAACAUUUUUAUCACAUCAGUGAAAUAGUAUCUAUUGACUUCUGAAAAUGUGAGUUUCUGGCACAUUUCUAGAUGGUAAUAAAACGGACUCAUUAUUAAUAAGCUAAUGGAACUACGUAGUUGGAAAUAUUUGUUUUGUCAAAAAGUCCUUCCGUUGAUUAUUAAUCCUGAAUUGAAAUCUUUUUUUUAUGCAUUAGAUUGUUAUAGUCAUAACCAA